rnacentral:lncRNA from 1 species
GUUCCUGCAAGGGCCACAGCAGGCCACGAGCUCCACCGCCCCGCGGAGGGGCCGAGUGGGCCGCUCAGCGCGGGAGCCACACCUCAGACCAACCCCUCAGUCCGCCCCAAACCCUGAGGCUUGAAGCCUUCAGCACCAAUUUUAGAAGUGAGGGACAUUUUCUACUAACUUUUAUUUUUCUUUCAGGCUUGAUUUGUGUUAUUCACUACCGUUAUGCUCUAGGUUUUUGGUUUGUUUUGUUUUGAUGUUGUGGUCAACCCCUCAUCCGCCCCAAACCCUAAAGUCUAAGACCCCUGACGCCAAGGCCCCCCCCGGGCUGUGAGCUCUCCUCCCUGGCCGCUCUGCCCUGUGGAAUGGAUCCUGACUUCAAAUACAUCAUCCACCCCACUGCUGCUCUUGGGUGACCUGCUCAGCUUUGUUUAGGACGUCAGGCGCCUGGACAGGACCCCCCAACCUGGCAACGCUCUUGCAUAGCCACAAGGGUGCAGUGAUCAGCAGCAGGAAGCCGGCACCCUGAACCUGAGCCCACCCUGACUUUAGCAGAGGUUUCCAUUCGCGCCUCUCCCCCGUUCUCACUGUUAGGGGCUGGAGCAGCCCUGCUGGUGAGAAAGAGGCCUGGACAAAGAGGGAACCUGGAAUAAACCUCAUCCCCUAAUUAUAAGGAAUAAUCAGAAGAGCUGCGUGUGGUGGUGCAUGUCUGUGAUCCAGAACUCUGGUGGGCUGAUGCAGGCGGAUUGCAAGUUCGAAACCAACUGGGCCAACUUUGCAAUUUAGUAAGACCUUGUCUGAAAUUAAGAAAAAACCAAAAACCAAAAAACAGAUGGGGAUGCAGCUCAGGGUGAAGGCCCUGGGUUCAAUCCUCAGCCUGCAAAAACAAAAGUACAGAAGGUUGCUAUGGACCCAGUGAGCUGCUGCCGCAGCUUGUCCUGUGAUGAGCGCCCUGUCGGUGUUAUGGGUGUUUUUACACCUCCAGCUCCAAUUCAGCGUGAACACUACCAGGCUGCGGCGCUCGGAGCCGACAGGUUGCUGCCGCUCCUCUUCCUUCUCUCGCUCGUUUACGUUUACUCCUUGGAUCCACCACCGUCUCCCUCACUUCACGGAUGGCGACUGGGAGAGGUUCCGGAGACCCUGCCUCUCAGGCUGAGAGCUCCAUCUAUAAUCCCAAUGAUCUGGAUGGACAGUCCUGUCUGCUGACACCAGCCACCGCCAGCAUCCUCUUCAGGCUGUCACCGAGAUGGAUGGGGAUGGCUUUGGUCCCGACCUGAGUCAGAGGCCACUUCAUGACAGCAGCACUGGCUGGCCGGCCGGGCAGGAAACACCACUGCUCUGUGCCACAUGCCGGCCAUGGCUGGUUCCCCUCAUGCCCACUCAGCGCUGCCAGCUGGGCAGCUGGCUAAGCCACCCGGGCAGCUGGCUAAGCCACCCAGGAGACUCUCUGCACUGGGUCUCCUGCCUCCACUGCUCC